UCUGGGUUUUGAUUGUGUUCAGGUUUGUUUUUUAUGCAGUGUUUGUACAAUGGUGUUUGUCUUUUUUUUCUUUUUUUCACAUGGUUGUGUUGCGUUCUCUUCGACUUACGACUUUUAAAUAUCCUUUUGUUAUCCUCCGUCUUUUUAUUUGGCACUGGCCAGUUUGAAAACAUGAUGAUUACAAUUUUCGUAUGUCCAAUAGAACUGUACUGAACUUGAAAGCUGUAGAAACAAU
rnacentral:lncRNA from 1 species